rnacentral:sRNA from 1 species
CUCAACCGUAAGGAGGGGGAUGCCUAAGGCAGGGCUAGUGACUGGGGUGAAGUCGUAACAAGGUAGCCGUACCGGAAGGUGUGGCUGGAUCACCUCCUUAAAGGGAGACCUAAUUCGGGUAUAAGACGAAAAAAUAGUAGUCGAAACCAAGAAUCAAUCCCAAAAGGUCGGAACGAGGUAUGUGGCUUUCAAACUAGGUUCUGGGUUCACACAAGACCUGAAUCAGGAACAAGGGCUAUUAGCUCAGGUGGUUAGAGCGCACCCCUGAUAAGGGUGAGGUCCCUGGUUCGAGUCCAGGAUGGCCCACCUGCCCAGGUGGCAAAAACAAAGAAGAGAAGCUCCGAAUCAGCACCUUAUCUUAUCUAUAGAUAAGAGAGAAUGCUGGCUCUGAGUUCAGAGUCCAGAGGAACCUUGAGAACUGCAUAGAGCUAGGUGAAAAAGCCAAAAAAGAAGACCGCAAGGUCAAGCUAAUAAGGGCUAACGGUG